rnacentral:pre_miRNA from 12 species
CUCCGGUGCCUACUGAGCUGAUAUCAGUUCUGAUUUUACACACUGGCUCAGUUGAAACAGGAG